AAGACUAUACUUUCAGGGAUCAUUUCUAUAGUUUCUAACAUGGAAAUGUGUUUCUAAAGUGUUACGUCUCCCUAACCACGAUGACGAGUUGCGAUGUACUUUUCUGAGCGCGAAUCGGAUAUUGGCUUAUGAUUUAUUUCAAGAGCUUUUAUCAUUGAUGACCGUUCUCUGCUCUUUGGAGUGUGAGAGGAAGAGUGCAUGUUCAGAGUGGUU
ensembl:snoRNA